GAUGAAUGAUGGCGGAGGGGAGAAUACAUGCAAGUCGAGCGAACAGACGAGGAGCUUGCUCCUCUGACGUUAGCGGCGGACGGGUGAGUAACACGUGGGUAACCUACCUAUAAGACUGGGAUAACUUCGGGAAACCGGAGCUAAUACCGGAUAAUAUAUUGAACCGCAUGGUUCAAUAGUGAAAGACGGUUUUGCUGUCACUUAUAGAUGGAUCCGCGCCGCAUUAGCUAGUUGGUAAGGUAACGGCUUACCAAGGCGACGAUGCGUAGCCGACCUGAGAGGGUGAUCGGCCACACUGGAACUGAGACACGGUCCAGACUCCUACGGGAGGCAGCAGUAGGGAAUCUUCCGCAAUGGGCGAAAGCCUGACGGAGCAACGCCGCGUGAGUGAUGACGGUCUUCGGAUCGUAAAACUCUGUUAUUAGGGAAGAACAAAUGUGUAAGUAACUAUGCACGUCUUGACGGUACCUAAUCAGAAAGCCACGGCUAACUACGUG
rnacentral:rRNA from 1 species